rnacentral:rRNA from 1 species
GACGAACGCUGGCGGCGUGCUUAACACAUGCAAGUCGAACGGAAAGGCCCUGCUUUUGUGGGGUGCUCGAGUGGCGAACGGGUGAGUAACACGUGAGUAACCUGCCCUUGACUUUGGGAUAACUUCAGGAAACUGGGGCUAAUACCGGAUAGGAGCUCCUGCUGCAUGGUGGGGGUUGGAAAGUUUCGGCGGUUGGGGAUGGACUCGCGGCUUAUCAGCUUGUUGGUGGGGUAGUGACUUACCAAGGCUUUGACGGGUAGCCGGCCUGGGAGGGUGACCGGCCACAUUGGCACUGAGAUACGGCCCAGACUCCUACGGGAGGCAGCAGUGGGGAAUAUUGCACAAUGGGCGGAAGCCUGAUGCAGCAACGCCGCGUGCGGGAUGACGGCCUUCGGGUUGUAAACCGCUUUCGCCUGUGACGAAGCGUGAGUGACGGUAAUGGGUAAAGAAGCACCGGCUAACUACGUG